GUCUUCGGACUGCGGAAGAGUGGCGAACGGGUGAGGAACACGUAAGAAUCUGCCCCUCGGUCGGGGACAACUCUUGGAAACGAGAGCUAAUACCCGAUACGCUGUGGAGUGAAAGAAUUUCGCCGAGGGAUGAUCUUGCGUCUGAUUAGCUAGUUGGUGUGGUAACUGCACACCAAGGCGACGAUCAGUAGCUGGUCUGAGAGGAUGGACAGCCACAUUGGAACUGAGACACGGUCCAAACUCCUACGGGAGGCAGCAGUGGGGAAUUUUCCGCAAUGGACGAAAGUCUGACGGAGCGACGCUGCGUGAAGGAUGACGGCCCGCGGGUUGUAAACUUCUUUUCUCGAAGAAGAAACGAAUGACGGUAUUCGAGGAAUAAGCAUCGGCUAACUCCGUGCCAGCAGCCGCGGUAAGACGGAGGAUGCAAGUGUUAUUCGGAAUGAUUGGGCGUAAAGAGUCUGUAGGCUGUAUAGAAAGUCUUUUGUUAAAUUCCUCGGCUCAACCGAGAUCAAGCAAAGGAAACUUCUAUACUUGAGGGAAGUA
rnacentral:rRNA from 1 species